CACCGGCGGACUGCUCAGUAACACGUGGACAACCUACCCUCGGGUGGGGGAUAACCUCGGGAAACUGAGGCUAAUACCCCAUAGGCCUCGGAUACUGGAAGGUUCCGAGACCGAAAGCUCCGGCGCCCGAGGAUGGGUCUGCGACCUAUCAGGUAGUUGGUGGUGUAAAGGACCACCAAGCCUACGACGGGUAUGGGCCCUGAGAGGGGGAGCCCGGAGAUGGACUCUGAGACACGAGUCCAGGCCCUACGGGGCGCAGCAGGCGCGAAACCUUCGCAAUGCGCGAAAGCGCGACGAGGGGAGCCCGAGUGCCCUUCCUUUCGGGAGGGCUUUUCUGGAGCCUAAAAAGCUCCAGGAAUAAGGGCUGGGCAAGACGGGUGCCAGCCGCCGCGGUAAUACCCGCAGCUCGAGUGGUGGCCACUAUUAUUGAGCCUAAAGCGUCCGUAGCCGGACCCGUAAAUCCCUGGGUAAAUCCUGGCGCUCAACGUCAGGAAUUCCGGGGAGACUGCGGGUCUUGGGACCGGGAGAGGCCGGAGGUACUCCCGGGGUAGGGGUAAAAUCCUGUAAUCCCGGGGGGACCACCUGUGGCGAAAGCGUCCGGCUUGAACGGCUCCGACGG
rnacentral:rRNA from 1 species